GCAAGUCGAACGGUAACAGGAAGCAGCUUGCUGCUUCGCUGACGAGUGGCGGACGGGUGAGUAAUGUCUGGGAAACUGCCUGAUGGAGGGGGAUAACUACUGGAAACGGUAGCUAAUACCGCAUAACGUCGCAAGACCAAAGAGGGGGACCUUCGGGCCUCUUGCCAUCGGAUGUGCCCAGAUGGGAUUAGCUAGUAGGUGGGGUAACGGCUCACCUAGGCGACGAUCCCUAGCUGGUCUGAGAGGAUGACCAGCCACACUGGAACUGAGACACGGUCCAGACUCCUACGGGAGGCAGCAGUGGGGAAUAUUGCACAAUGGGCGCAAGCCUGAUGCAGCCAUGCCGCGUGUAUGAAGAAGGCCUUCGGGUUGUAAAGUACUUUCAGCGGGGAGGAAGGGAGUAAAGUUAAUACCUUUGCUCAUUGACGUUACCCGCAGAAGAAGCACCGGCUAACUCCGUGCCAGCAGCCGCGGUAAUACGGAGGGUGCAAGCGUUAAUCGGAAUUACUGGGCGUAAAGCGCACGCAGGCGGUUUGUUAAGUCAGAUGUGAAAUCCCCGGGCUCAACCUGGGAACUGCAUCUGAUACUGGCAAGCUUGAGUCUCGUAGAGGGGGGUAGAAUUCCAGGUGUAGCGGUGAAAUGCGUAGAGAUCUGGAGGAAUACCGGUGGCGAAGGCGGCCCCCUGGACGAAGACUGACGCUCAGGUGCGAAG
rnacentral:rRNA from 1 species